GGGCAAUUAGCUCAGCUGGUUAGAGCGUCACAUUGACAUUGUGAAGGUCACUGGUUCGAAUCCAGUAUUGCCCA
rnacentral:tRNA from 1 species